rnacentral:rRNA from 1 species
UACAGAGGGUGCGAGCGUUGUCCGGAAUCACUGGGCGUAAAGGGCGCGUAGGCGGUCUGGUAAGCGUGUGGUGAAAGCUUCGGGCUCAACCCGGAGUCGGCCGUGCGAACUGCGAGACUGGAGCAUGUCAGAGGCAGGCGGAAUUCCGGGUGUAGCGGUGGAAUGCGUAGAGAUCCGGAAGAACACCGGUGGCGAAGGCGACCAUCUGGACGACAACUGACGCUGAGGCGCGAAAGCGUGGGGAGCAAACAGG